GGUUCUAUGGCGCAAUUGGUUAGCGCGUCCGGCUGUUACUGGCCCCAAGCUGGUGAACAAAUACCGGGAGGUUGAAAGUUCGAGUCUUUCUAGUACCG